rnacentral:lncRNA from 1 species
AAUCAUUCAAAAAAUUCAUUUUUCAUUAAAUUUUCAUUUGAAAUUCUGAUAUAUGAGCACCAAAUUCUUUACUGGUUUCAUAUCAUGAAAUCUCUAGUUUGAGAGUUCUCAUUAACUGUCAGCUAGCCAUGCCUUCGUCCCAGUCUUGCAUUUUGUGCAGUGGCUGUGCCUGUCCUUUAUAAGGCUGUUGUGAGGAUUCAGUGAGAUGAUGUAUGUAGAAUGCUGUGUAAAUUGCUAAGUGCUGUACAAAGACAUGCUACUUGUCCUCUUCGUUAUUUGUUAGAUCCCAGUAGGUUUGACACAGAAUCCUUGCUAUAGAAAUUCUUUUUCUUUUUUUGGGGGGGGGGCAUACCAGAGAUUGAACUCAGGGGCACUAGACCACUGAGCCACAUUCCCAGCAGGAUUUCUAGAGGGCUCAUGGUGGUCUGAGCUGCUCUUUGUUAUAAAGGCCAAGUUUCUCUUUCUUAUAAAAGUUAGGUCUGUAAUCAAGCUUGUUGAUGUGCAAAAAUUACUGUUUGUUUUCUUAGUAAAAGCUUGCAAAAACUCUGUGGAAUCAAACAAAAAGUAACUGUUAUGUUAACUAUUGUGUUGUGUUACCACCACUGAGUAGAAAUCUCAGAGAAUUUCCAGACCUGGGGUCCAGAGAUUGUUUGGCGUUAGCGCCUCUGGAUCGCUGCAGCUUAAAAAACCUGAUUCCUGCAAAUUCCUCAGGUAUUCAGCCUCAUCUGUCCUUCAUCAGUGCCUGCUUGAAAUGCUAGAGUGUCCCCAUUCUUGAAGGGCCCAGAGACAGUCUGUCUGACUCUGCCACAGUAUAAAUUAUAUGCAAAGUCAUUUAUCAUAAAAACUAGGGAGGGACCUCCUGGAAGUAAACUCAACAUUGGAUGAUAAGACUUAUAUAGUAUACAUAUAUUGAUGUGCCGACAUAAACCCCAGAAAGACAUACUAAUGAUACAUCUGAG